AUAGAUUUUGCGGCACAAACUGUCGCAAAUCAGAUAAAGGAUAGCAAGGGAUAUAUAUUUACUUGGGAAGAUGUCAAGUUUACCUUUUCCCAAACCCGGGAAAAGCGUCCACGCAGAGGAAACGAUGGCGUCAUUUGUGUAGAAAACCACGAGCAGCCGAAAUUGAGUGCGAUUAUUACAUUCCAUGAAAGCUGAACCAACAAAGAAACAUCAUUGUUCUAGCCAGUUUGCUUAUAUUAACUUUUAGGAAAACCAAGAGGUUGAUAACAAUGGCUGAUCUGCAUAUAAUGACUGCUAGUUAUUGGCUGGUAUGCAGUGAAAGGGAGCUAAAAAGGAGUAAAAAGUUCAUAUAAGCCAGGUGAGAAUUAAUUUCUUUUUUGUGUGUUAUACAUAUGUAAUUCUUUUCUUUUGCUGCUUCAAAUCUUGUGUAUUUGAAAAUUUUCAAUCUAAUAUUUUGGCAAUGUUAUAGGUAGUGUGGAUUAAAUAAACCAGUGUUAAGGAAUAUCCAGUAAUGGCAUGACAUCAUGAGAGUUUGGCAUACCGACAUUCAGAUGAUUAAUGAUGAAACUGAAGACCUCAAGUGAAAGGCAUGGAAAAUGAUCCUGUUCCCAUAAUGAUAUACCUGAAAAAGAGGAGGGAUGCCACAAUAUUGAUAAUAGGCUUUUGUCAAUUUGAGAAGCAAAGAUGUAUAUAAAAAAAAAAAAAUAAUGCUGAAAUUAUAAUUCAUGUAUUUGUUAAAAAUACUGUUCACUGCACAUACAUGUAUAUUUUUUUUUAACUUAUUUCGAAAUACAUGAAGUAAUUCAUAUUAAAACUGUGACUGUA